rnacentral:rRNA from 1 species
AUGUUUCUGUGGAUAGUUGAUUCCCCUCAAUCUCUAAGACAAGCAGAAAACAGAUUUGUUAGGUCAUUGGACACAAUUGUAAGGAAGUUUGAUAAGGUUUUGGCCUGCCUGAUCAAGCUCGCAAAAGACAUCAUCAAGCCAACAGAUCCUCAAUUCAAAACUAUGCAUUCAAAACUAAGAUCUAGAAAGUAUGCACCAUUUAUGGACGAUUGCAUUGGAGCAAUAGAUGGGACACACAUACAAGUUGUGGUACCAGUUGCCACUGCUGUCCAGCAUAGGAAUAGACAUAAGGAGAAGAGUCAGAAUGUGAUGUGUGUGUGUGACUUUAAUAUGAGAUUCACAUUUGUCCUAGCCGGCUGGCCAGGAUCGGUGCAUGACAUGAGGGUCUUCAAUGAUGCCCGAUCCAGAUUUGGUGACAAGUUUCCAAAACCUCCACCUAAAAAGUUCUAUCUUGUGGACUCAGGAUACCCAAAUAGACCUGGUUAUCUUGCACCAUACAAGGGUUUAACCUAUCAUUUUCAGGAGUACCGUGAUGGCACAAUGCCUAGAGGAAAAAUGGAACACUUCAAUUUCAGCCAUUGUUCACUUAGAAAUGUCAUCGAGAGUUGUUUUGGAGUCUUGAAGAACAAGUGGAGGAUUUUGUUUCACUUACCUAGUUAUCCACAACAGAAACAAAGCAAAAUCAUUGUGGCUUGCAUUGCACUGCACAAUUUCAUUAGAGAAAGUCAACUAGCUGAUAUAGAUUUCGACAAGUGUGAUCAAGAUGAAAAUUAUAUACCAUUGCCUGUGCCAACGACCACUCCAACAUAUGAUUCAACCAAUGAGAUGGAUAGUGCUGCUAUGAAUCAAUUUAUAAAUUGGGUCGCUGAUGGGUUGUGGAGCUUGAAACAGCAAUGA